AUAAAACAAAAGUCUCAGUCAGUGUUUGUGUCCAGCUGCAGUGAAGAUAAAUAUUUUUCUCUACAGUUCAUGGUUUCAGGGUGAUGAUGGAAGUGUUACUGCAUUUAGUUCUGCUGUUGAUCAUUUCAUCUGUUAGUGGUCAGUCUUUGACCUCCUCAGACUCUGUGGUGAAAAAGCCUGGAGAAUCAGUGACUCUGUCCUGCACUGUGUCUGGAUUCUCAAUGAGUUACUGGAUGCACUGGAUCCGUCAGAAACCAGGGAAAGCACUGGAGUGGAUUGGAUUUAUAGACACUGGCUCAAGUGCAUAUUAUUCUCAGUCUCUACAGGGACAGUUCUCCAUCACCAAAUACACCAGCAAAAACAUGCUGCAUUUAGAGGUGAAAAGCCUGAAGACUGAAGACACAGCUGUUUAUUACUGUGCUAGAGACUCACAUAGUAACCCAGCCUUAGCUUGGAUCAGACAGACUGCAGGAGGAGGUCUGGAGUGGACGGCAUACAUCUCACCUAGUAGUGCUAUAUACUACUCUCAGUCUGUUCAGGGACGCUUCACCAUCUCCAGAGACAACAGCAAGAAACAGAUGUAUCUGCAGAUGAAUAAUAUGAAGAAUGAAGACACUGCUGUAUAUUAUUAA